rnacentral:tRNA from 1 species
ACUAAUUUGGCAGAUAAGUGCAUCGGAUUUAAGCUCCAAACAUAAAAUUAAAUAAUUUUUUUUAGUA